UACAGAGGUGGCAAGCGUUGUUCGGAAUCACUGGGCUUAAAGGGUGCGUAGGCGGCUAUCUAAGCAGGGUGUGAAAGCCCCCGGCUCAACCGGGGAAUUGCGUUCUGAACUGGAUGGCUGGAGUGGGAUAGGGGUGUGUGGAACUUCCGGUGGAGCGGUGAAAUGUGUUGAUAUCGGAAGGAACGCCGGUGGCGAAAGCGACACACUGGGUCUCAACUGACGCUGAGGCACGAAAGCCAGGGGAGCGAACGGG
rnacentral:rRNA from 1 species